UGGUUUGAUCCUGGCUCAGAACGAACGCUGGCGGCGUGGAUUAGGCAUGCAAGUCGAGCGGUAGCAUGGGCUUCGAUUCUUCGGAAGAGAAGCCUGUGGUGAGAGCGGCGGACGGGUGAGUAACGCGUGGGUAACCUACCCUCAAGCUGGGGAUAGCUCGCCGAAAGGCGUGGUAAUCCCGAAUGUGAGCGAUCGGGCGCAGGUCUGGUCGCUUAAAGGUGGGGACCCCGACUUGUCGGGCCUGCCGCUUGGGGAUGGGCCCGCGUCCCAUCAGCUAGUUGGUGAGGUAACGGCUCACCAAGGCUAAGACGGGUAGCUGGCCUGAGAGGGUGGUCAGCCACACUGGGACUGAGACACUGCCCAGACUCCUACGGGAGGCUGCAGUCGAGAAUCUUGGACAAUGCGCGAAAGUGAUCCAGCGACGCCGCGUGCAGGAUGAAGGCCUUCGGGUCGUAAACUGCUGUCAUGGGCGGACAAGGGCUUCGCGGUGAACAGCCGCGGGGCUCGGAGGGUAGCCCAAGAGGAAGCCACGGCUAACUCUGUGCCAGCAGCCGCGGUAAGACAGAGGUGGCGAGCGUUGUUCGGAUUCACUGGGCGUAAAGGGUCCGUAGCCKGCCGUGUGUGUCGGGUGUGAAAUCUCACCGUUCAUCGGUGAAACUGCGCCCGAAACUACACGGCUAGAGGACGGGAGAGGAGAGCGGAAUUCCCGGUGUAGCGGUGAAAUCCGUAAAUAUCGGAAGGAACGCCGGUGGCGAARGCGGCUCUCUKGAACGAUCCUGACGCUGAGGGACGAAAGCUGGGGGAGCAAACAGAAUUAGAUACCCUGGUAGUCCCAGCCCUAAACGUUGUGCGCUUGGUGUGGGCGGUAUUGUCCCCGCCCGUGCCGGGACUAACGCGUUAAGCGCACCGCCUGGGGACUACGGCCGCAGGGCUAAAACUCAAAGGAAUUGACGGGGGCCCGCACAAGCGGUGGAGCAUGUGGCUUAAUUCGAUGCAACGCGAAGAACCUUACCAGGGCUUGACAUGCAGCUGCAAGCCCCCCRAAAGGGGGGCCGCCUUCGAGGGUGCUGCACAGGUGCUGCAUGGCUGUCGUCAGCUCGUGCCGUGAGGUGUUGGGUUAAGUCCCGCAACGAGCGCAACCCUGCGGCUAGUUGCGACUUCCGUCGAGAGGCGGGAGGCACUCUAGCCGGACUGCCCCGGUUAACGGGGAGGAAGGUGGGGAUGACGUCAAGUCCGUAUGGCCCUUAUGCCCUGGGCUGCACACGUGCUACAAUGGCCGGUACAGAGGGACGCGAAGCCGCGAGGCGGAGCAAAUCCCCGAAAACCGGCCCCAGUUCGGAUCGGAGUCUGCAACUCGACUCCGUGAAGCCGGAAUCGCUAGUAAAGGCGCAUCAGCUACGGCGCCUUGAAUACGUUCCCGGGCCUUGUACACACCGCCCGUCACAUCCCGAAAGCUGUCUGCACCCGAAGUCGCCGGCCCCGACGCAAGUCGGGGAGGUGCCGAAGGUGUGGGCGGUGAUUGGGAUGAAGUCGUAACAAGGUAGCCG
rnacentral:rRNA from 1 species